GAAUAUAUCAACAAAUUGAUGAUACUUCUCUUGUUGAGCCUUGUUCGAUCAUCAUACAUCAAUGUCAUACAAGGUGUUCCAGUUGUUUUGGUAGGAGGCUAUCCAUCUCUCUAGCUCUUGUUAUGAUCAAGUACUUUACCAUAUAUAUCCCUCGAUCCUGAAGAAUCGACACCAUGACUGACUUUCUGGAUGGAGCUGAUUGCGUAAGAGUACUAGGUGUUGUUUACGACAUUUGCAAGGAUGUGGGUGUAGUAGAAUCAAGAGGUAAUAGCUCUUCAUAUGUCUUUUUUCUUAUUGUUGACGGGAUAUAAUUAAUUCUUUGCUGUUUUGAGUCUUUUCUAAGGAAGACAUGUGGUCUAGGUUAAUGGUGGUCCUUGUUGCUGUUAAAGGCCUCUAACAUUGAUUCGAUCGGAGAGAAGAAAGAUUUUCUUCAACCCGCUUAAUUCAAAC
rnacentral:lncRNA from 1 species